rnacentral:rRNA from 1 species
GACGAACGCUGGCGGCGUGCUUAACACAUGCAAGUCGAACGGAAAGGCCCUGCUUUUGUGGGGUGCUUGAGUGGCGAACGGGUGAGUAACACGUGAGUAACCUGCCCUUGACUUUGGGAUAACUUCAGGAAACUGGGGCUAAUACCGGAUAGGAGCUCCUGCUGCAUGGUGGGGGUUGGAAAGUUUCGGCGGUUGGGGAUGGACUCGCGGCUUAUCAGCUUGUUGGUGGGGUAGUGGCUUACCAAGGCUUUGACGGGUAGCCGGCCUGAGAGGGUGACCGGCCACAUUGGGACUGAGAUACGGCCCAGACUCCUACGGGAGGCAGCAGUGGGGAAUAUUGCACAAUAGGCGGAAGCCUGAUGCAGCAACGCCGCGUGCGGGAUGACGGCCUUCGGGUUGUAAACCGCUUUCGCCUGUGACGAAGCGUGAGUGACGGUAAUGGGUAAAGAAGCACCGGCUAACUACGUG